rnacentral:rRNA from 1 species
AGAGCGAACGCUGGCGGCAUGCUUAACACAUGCAAGUCGCACGGGCAUAUUUCGGUAUGUCAGUGGCGGACGGGUGAGUAACGCGUAGGUAUCUGUCCUUGGGUGGGGGAUAACGCUGGGAAACUGGUGCUAAUACCGCAUGAUGACUGAGGUCCAAAGGCGCAAGUCGCCUGGGGAGGAGCCUGCGUCCGAUUAGCUUGUUGGUGGGGUAAUGGCCUACCAAGGCUGCGAUCGGUAGCUGGUCUGAGAGGAUGAUCAGCCACAUUGGGACUGAGACACGGCCCAAACUCCUACGGGAGGCAGCAGUGGGGAAUAUUGGACAAUGGGCGCAAGCCUGAUCCAGCAAUGCCGCGUGGAUGAAGAAGGUUUUCGGAUUGUAAAGUCCUUUCGGCGGGGACGAUGAUGACGGUACCCGCAGAAGAAGCCCCGGCUAACUUCGUGCCAGCAGCCGC